rnacentral:rRNA from 1 species
GACGAACGCUGGCGGCGUGCUUAACACAUGCAAGUCGAACGGAAAGGCCCUGCUUUGGUGGGGUGCUCGAGGGGAGAACGGGUGAGUAACACGUGAGUAACCUGCCAUUGACUUUGGGAUAACUUCAGGAAACUGGGGCUAAUACCGGAUAGGAGCUCCUGCUGCAUGGUGGGGGCUGGAAAGUUUCGGCGGUUGGGGAUGGACUCGCGGCUUAUCAGCUUGUUGGUGGGGUAGUGGCUUAGCAAGGCUUUGACGGGUAGCCGGCCUGGUCGGGUGAGCUGCCACGUCGGGCCGGGACUGAGACCCGGCCUCGUACGCUACGCAGCAGUGGGGUAUAUUGCAUUGUGGGCUGGACCAUGAUCUAGUCACGCCGCGCGGCGUAUGUCGGCCUGCGGUUUGUAUUGCGCUUUUGCCUGUCACGAGGCGUGAGUGACGGUAACGGGUAAAGAAGCACCGGCUAACUACGUG